GCUUGUCUCAAAGAUUAAGCCAUGCAUGUUCAAGUAUAGCAAGUGUACAGUGAAACUGCGAAUGGCUCAUUAAAUCAGUUAUAAUUUAUUUGAUAGUGAAAUUGUACAUGGAUAACCGUGGCAAUUCUAGAGCUAAUACAUGCGUAAAAUCCCGACUCUCGCGGGGAGGGAUGUAUUUAUUAGUUAAAAAGCCAAUGCGGGUUCUGCCCGGUUUUGUGGUGAAUCAUAGUAACUGUUCGAAUCGCAUGGCUUCACGCCGGCGAUAGUUCAUUCAAAUUUCUGCCCUAUCAGCUUUCGACGGUAGUGUAGUGGACUACCGUGGCGUUAACGGGUAACGGAGAAUUAGGGUUCGGUUCCGGAGAGGGAGCCUGAGAAACGGCUACCACAUCCAAGGAAGGCAGCAGG
rnacentral:rRNA from 1 species